rnacentral:sRNA from 1 species
UUGCGCAAGUGAUGUUUAUUUGAGCAAUCUUCGCAAUCAUCUGUCGCAGCUCCGGGCCUAUUCUUAUCACCAGAAUCACUGCUCGGUAACACAGUCCACGCGGCCCGCCCAAUCCGGCCUGCCGCGGCCGCCACCCCCACCGGGGUUGUGCCGGCCCCCGAGCUGCACACUGUCCAGAAGACGGCGUGAGGUGAGCCGACGUCAAAAGCGUCGAGCCAGGACGAAGUUCUCUAGAAGGGAGGCCGACGGGUCUCCCU